rnacentral:lncRNA from 1 species
UUGCUCUUGUCCUUAGACUCGGCCAAAGCCUCACGCUUCUCCCGAACGUGGGCAUCUCCGUGCUCCGCCCAUAGGGCUCGAUCGAAGACCUCCGCAAAGGUCGUGAGCUUAAGUAUUUGCACGGCCUUGUAGAUCCCCGGCCGAAGUCCUCGCAAGAACCACUCGGCCCGGUCCCGGUCAUCCUUUACAACAUCCGAGACACAGUC